ACAUCUGAAUAUAAUCAAAAUAGCAGAUGCUGCUCCAAAGAGGUUUUUUUUUUUUUAUUUGGGAGAGGUUAAACUGGAGCUGAGUAAAGGGAAACGGAAGUAAAGACCAUUUUCUACAACAGCUAUUCUUUGGAAGAUAUAUAUAUGCUCAUUCUUAUGGAAAGUUUUUGGGUUCCUUUGCACUCAAAACAAAUUGUGGUCCGAGGUAGAAAUGGUGAUGAGAAACCAGGUGGACUGAACCAAACAAACAAACAAAACCCUUCUUUGCAUGAACCCAUAUGAAAAAUCAAAAUAGCUGCAUUUUGCACAGCUCUAUUUAUAACUCUGCAAUUUUUAAAGGACAACAGCCCGGUGACUUUGGGCAUAGCAGCAGCGGGGAAGUUUCAGCAAUGUUAUGCCUCCUUAAUUAAUCUUUGACUAAUGCUCCAGAACCAGCAAAACCAGGAGUACAAAGGGUCGUAUUCACACUUGGCUGAUAUAA